rnacentral:rRNA from 6 species
CUUUCAACAACGGAUCUCUUGGCUCUCGCAUCGAUGAAGAACGCAGCGAAAUGCGAUAAGUAAUGUGAAUUGCAGAAUUCAGUGAAUCAUCGAAUCUUUGAACGCACCUUGCGCCCCUUGGUAUUCCGAGGGGCAUGCCUGUUUGAGUGU